UACGUAGGGGGCAAGCGUUGUCCGGAAUCAUUGGGCGUAAAGAGCGUGUAGGCGGUCCUGUAAGUCCGCUGUGAAAGUCAAGGGCUCAACCCUUGAAUGCCGGUGGAUACUGCAGGACUAGAGUCCGGAAGAGGCGAGUGGAAUUCCUGGUGUAGCGGUGAAAUGCGCAGAUAUUGGGAGGAACACCGGUGGCGAAGGCGGCCCUCUGGACGGAUACUGACGCUGAGGCGCGAAAGCGUGGGGAUCAAACAGG
rnacentral:rRNA from 1 species